AGCUCGGUAACGGACAGGCAGAACAUGAUGUCAGGCAGCAAAGAGCCACGGGUCAAUGAGCAAGUCCCAAAGAGGAAAAGGCAGAUAAAACAUCCAGUCCCAGAAGUCCUGAGUAGGGUCUCAAGGCAGGGAAUUGGGUUCCCAAGUGCAACGUAGGGCUUGGAUGCAGAGGUCUAAGAGAAUGGCCUGGCUGUUUGUACCUGAAAAAAAGAAGUUUAAAGGAGCAUCAAUGCUACAGUCUAGCAUGACUGUGGAAACUGGGCCAAAGAAGGGAUCCUCAUAUAACACAAUCCUUGCUAAAGCUCGAGAUCCCCAGAGCUGACUAUACCAUCCAGGCAUGCACUUGGAUGGCAACGUGUACAGACUUACAGGAUCUAAAGGGACUAAAGAAACAAAAGAUAGUGGGAUCUAUAACACAGGAGACUGGGCUUCCGCACUUCUCUGACUGGAUGUUCCUAUACCUGAGGCUUCAUCGCCAAGUAACACCUAUAGUUCAUAUGAUCUCUGUAGUCGGGUAAAGUAAUUAUACAUCAAUAGUUAUUCCAAGAGUUGUAUCUAUUCAUAUUCAGGGGUUUGAGAACACGCAAUCUCAGAAAAAGCUAAAUAAGCUGGUGGCUUUUGACGCUCACAGAGCUCAAAGUUUAGGAAUCAAUCAUUUUUAUCAUAGUUGGGGAGAAGGUAGAAAAGAAUGGUUAGAAAUAGACUCUCGCCAGAUGGCCAGAUUUUAUUCCUCUUGCUUUCUGGUUGGCCAAGCCCCACGGCUCAGGGAAGCCAUCUUGAAUCUUUUCCAACUGUCAUCCAUGGGAGGCAGCAGAUUGGAGCGGAGAGCCAGGCACUUGCACAUCCACUGACCGCCAGGAAAUUCUUAGGAGAGAAUGGGAGUCCCUGUUUAGCUGAGAAGAGAGAAGAACUGAGAGAGAACAGAGCUUCAGGAAUGAUGCUGCCUUCCCUGGCGCCUCAUCCUGGGAGGGGUGAACUUCAGGAGAAGAGCAAGAGCAGGACAGUUGGCCGCUUCCCAGCAGGUGGGGACUUCCCGGGGCUCAGUCUGGAAUUGUGCAGAAGAGAAAAAGUGUCUGUCAUGUGCAGAGGGAGACAUUUUGUCACCUUGAAGGACUUGCUUCCAUAGUUCAAAGGUCUUUUCUUGGAGUCACUAUUCCAAUUUUUAGUGGUUGAAACUAAAAAGAACCUUAGUGUAGCUCUUCUGGAGAGACGUUAGGAACAUGGAUACUGAAGCCAGGUUCGCGGAUUUGAAAUACGUUUCUGUAUUUAGCAGCUGUGUGACCUUGGGCAAGUCAUUCAACCUCUCUAUGCCUCAGAGUAAGAUGAGAAUAAUAGUAGUGCCUUCCACAUAGGGUUGAUGGGAGGAUUAAAUUGAUUAAUAUGUGUGAAGCCCUUAGAUCAGUGCCUAGUACAAAGUAAAUGUUUUAUUUCAGGGAUGAGGAAGCUGAACACUAGAUCUUGAAAUGACUUUUUGAAGUCCCACAACUUUGGACUAACAUGAUUGAAACCAGAAACCAGAUCUUGUGGUUCUCAGAACAAUCAUCUUCCUAUGUCGUCAAAGAAUUGAGAAGUGGAUGGAACGUUAAAAUGCAGAAACGGUGAAUGUAGUGAACAAGUUCCAAAAUAUUAGCUGUGAAGUCAUGUGAAUUCCUACAGUAGUUAACAGAUGUCCAAGAACCAAGAGAGAUUAUUGAUUUAUUUAAUUUUAAGACAGAAGGUACUUGACUGUGUUUAUGGGGUAAGAAGAUGGAGUCAGUGAAGAGGAUGAGAUUGAAUAAAUGGGAGGAGGGGAUUUUAAAAGGAAGAAAU
rnacentral:lncRNA from 1 species